AAGGAAUGCUAAUACCGCAUACGUCCUACGGGAGAAAGCAGGGGAUCUUCGGACCUUGCGCUAAUAGAUGAGCCUAAGUCGGAUUAGCUAGUUGGUGGGGUAAAGGCCUACCAAGGCGACGAUCUGUAGCGGGUCUGAGAGGAUGAUCCGCCACACUGGGACUGAGACACGGCCCAGACUCCUACGGGAGGCAGCAGUGGGGAAUAUUGGACAAUGGGCGCAAGCCUGAUCCAGCCAUGCCGCGUGUGUGAAGAAGGCCUUAUGGUUGUAAAGCACUUUAAGCGAGGAGGAGGCUACUUUAGUUAAUACCUAGAGAUAGUGGACGUUACUCGCAAAAUAAGCACCGGCUAACUCUGUGCCAGCAGCCGCGGUAAUACAGAGGGUGCAAGCGUUAAUCGGAUUUACUGGGCGUAAAGCGCGCGUAGGCGGCUAAUUAAGUCAAAUGUGAAAUCCCCGAGCUUAACUUGGGAAUUGCAUUCGAUACUGGUUAGCUAGAGUGUGGGAGAGGAUGGUAGAAUUCCAGGUGUAGCGGUGAAAUGCGUAGAGAUCUGGAGGAAUACCGAUGGCGAAGGCAGCCAUCUGGCCUAACACUGACGCUGAGGUGCGAAAGCAUGGGGGAGCAAACAGGAUUAGAUACCCUGGUAGUCCAUGCCGUAAACGAUGUCUACUA
rnacentral:rRNA from 1 species